GGGAGGGUAGCUCACUAUUAGAGUGCAUGCUUUGCACACAUGAGGCUUUGAGUUUGAUUCCCAGCACUGCCC
rnacentral:tRNA from 1 species